rnacentral:snRNA from 18 species
UAAAAUCCUUCAUAGCUGGGCCUUCCUUAAGACCCUAAGCACAAUUUUUGGGCGCCUGUCGUGCAACAGCGGCGGGUGA